UGGUUGGUUCACGAUUUUUGGACGACCAAGCUGGUCGACGGAGGCUGGUCCGUUUUGGACGAUAGGGUUCGUUUGGACGGGGGCUGGUGGUUGUUUGGUGAGGGUGGUCGUUUGGCAUGGACGAGCAACGGGACGCAGUCCAUUUGGGUGGUGUUUGGCGGCUUGGGGUCAGGUGGACGGGGAGGAGAAGCAGCAGGGAGGGCUAUUUGUGUUGGGUGGUUUGAAGAAAAUGAAGAGAGGAGGGGGUGGGUAAGGUGGU
rnacentral:lncRNA from 1 species